rnacentral:lncRNA from 1 species
GUGAAUUUAGCUGCUGGGAACUAGAGGAUAUUGCUUCCAAGCUAGUGGUGAAUUUACUUUGAAUUGUCGAAAUGAUUGCUGUGUUGAUUAUGUUAUGUUGGACUGUAGAGGUGUCAGCAGUGCCUCUCAGCCCUAUUUUUCCUUCUCAGCUUCCACAAGCUGGAGUCACUCAGCCUCAAAUUGUUCCUCCUGUUAAAGCUGAAACUCAGAACCUGAAUCACCACACGUUCAUCCCUCAAUCGCCUGCACCCGUUCCGGAGCAACAACAACAACAACAACAACAACAACCUCCAUCACCUCCCCAACUGGAUCCCAAGGCUGUCCCUCCAUACAAUCCUUUACUUCACCACUACACCUGGUCUCAGCAGGGUGGCAACCCAAUGAUGAUCCCCCUUCAGCAGAACAUGCAAGGAUCUCAGACCACUAAUGUGCCUGGCCUGCCUCUGCAUUCAUUUAUAUUGACACCCCUUGGAUUACUGCCUGUGUUUGCGUCACCAUACGGAAGUCACCUGGCGCCUCAACAAAGAUACCCAAUGAUUCCGGAAUCACCGCUUCCACAAGUCCUUGCACAGCAGCUCCCCAACAGUCCAGCAGCACCUGUAGAAGAUGCUGCAGCUCUUGCUGGGGAUGCACCUCAAACAAUGCAGCAACCGCAACCGCAGCAGCAACAGCAACAGCAACAGCAACAGCAACCGCAGCCGCAACAGCAACAGCAACAGCAACAGCAACAGCAACAGGUAGCUUUUAAAGUGACUUGUGUUUUAAGUCAAAUACCUAAUAACCAACUUUCUACAU